AUGCUCUCCAGGUGGUUUUACACUCCUCCAGGGCUGGGCCCCCCCAUGUACGCUCUGAGCUCUGGGAGGUCACCAGUCUGGACCUGUGGUUCAGGUGUGCCUCUUGGCUGGUGUGCCUGGCCUCUGGAUAAUCAACCAUGGUCAGGACUGAGGAAAGGCCAGGGACACUGGAAGGUGAGCAGGGUAAACAGGAGGGGAGCUCCUUCUUGCUGGGGGGUGAUGCUGAGACACAUCGGCCUUUCCUGCCCUGAGAUCUUCCUCAGGGAAACCACCUGCACCUGCCGAGCAGCCGACAGCAGGAUGAGAGGAAGACGCACCUUCAGAGCGGAAGCACUUCUCAGAAGACGUCCAGAGCGCUUCUCCUGCCUGCGGCGCCCGCUUUUCUCCGGGGCAUCGCCUGCCUCUGCCGGACUCCAGCCCGUCACCCUGACCACCUCCUCCCGGAAGUUCGCGGCUUCUUUAGGCGUCUCUCGUUCGGCUUCACUGCACACAUCGCAUGGUAAAGAUGAUAGGACGCAUCUGCUAUUUACUUAUUAUUUAUUUGAAACUGUCUCUCCAUCUGAAAUGUAAGUGUCACAAGGGGGUCUUUGUUUUGUUCAUGGCGGAGCACCUGGAGGAGCAUCGGAUGCACCAGGAAGGGAGGGGCGGAGGAGGGGAGGAGCUUCCUCCUGGAGGCGGGGGGAGGGCUGCUGGCUCUGUGGGUGCCCUGGUGCCAUCGCUGGGGUCGGGCCUCGGCCUGCAGCUUCCCACUCAGAAGAGCAGGUCCGUUUCAGGGGAAUGUUUAGAAACUACCUUUGUUUCUCAGGGCUCCUGGCCGCUCCUGGGCUCCUGGAACCAGCCCAUCACAGGGUGGGAGCCCUCUUGACUGCCCGAGGUGGGGUCUCCUUGUCUGCUGGCUGUGUGUUCCUCUGUCUCUCCUUUCUUGGACCCCCGUCCCCACCCCCCCUCCCCCACGCAACAGGAGCCGCUCAAGGGCUCAGCCUCCGGAAAUCAGCCUCAAGACUCCUGGCCUCACGGAGAUCUCCUUCUGUUACGAGGCAGCGAGUCUCUGUACAUUUGUCUGAUCCCAUCCUCGAAACCCACUGUGAACUCUGGCUCCAGAAAAUCGACUUGCUAUGACUUCAUAUCCAAGAGACAAAGCUCAGGUUGCAAAAAUUAGCAGACUUACGACCCCCCGUUAGCUGUCCUGUGGUUGAAAGGGCCUCCUCUGUUUGGCUCUCGCAGGCUCCUGUUGUUUACACGUGCAAAGCAUUAAUUCCCGGGGGGGGGGUCACGCUGGCACACAUCUGGAACCCGUACAGCAACGGGCGAGAGAGCGCUGGGCUGCAUAAGCGCCGCCUUCACUCCCAGCCACUUCUGCUGCAGAGGGCGCCCUGGUCCCGGUGAGGAGGCGGCCCUGUCGGGGUGCAGAGAUGAGGAAAUAGCUGGAAUCCCAAGGCAGCAAAGGCCAGGGCUCUGUGGAAGCUUGGAAGGAAUCGCUUGAGAGACGGAAUCCAGCUGAGAAUCAGGUCAUAGGGCAGCUCACCCUCCACCUGCUUUCCUUCCCGGCAGCCACGGCUCGUGGAAGUUCCUGGCCCUGGGAUUGAACCCACAGCACAGCAGCGACCAGAGCCACUGAAGUGACAACUCGGAUCCUUAACCCGCUGCACCACAGAACUCCUGCCGCAGCACUUUUGAAUUGUUUUCUUCGUGUUGUUUCGAUUUGUUGCUUUUCCCCCGUUUUCUCUCUUUGCACGCACUUGGGGGUGAGUGAGGCUGCUGUCACCCAGCACUAACAUCCCACAUAUUCAGAGGACUGCAGCUUAUUCCUGGACUCUCACUCUCCCAUGGGACUCUACCUGGUUUAUUUGGGAAAAAAUAUUGUCUUCUAAUAAAUCAAUGGACAACUCACA
rnacentral:lncRNA from 1 species